AUGUACCGCAUCUCGUACACUCCGGUUCUGAGCGCGCCGCCCGCACCCACCUGACGACCGCUCGCUACCUUUGUUAGCC
rnacentral:sRNA from 1 species